rnacentral:rRNA from 1 species
AGGGGCAGCAUGGUCUUAGCUUGCUAAGGCCGAUGGCGACCGGCGCGCGGGUGAGUAACACGUAUCCAACCUGCCGUCUACUCUUGGACAGCCUUCUGAAAGGAAGAUUAAUACAAGAUGGCAUCAUGAGUUCACAUGUUCACAUGAUUAAAGGUAUUCCGGUAGACGAUGGGGAUGCGUUCCAUUAGAUAGUAGGCGGGGUAACGGCCCACCUAGUCUUCGAUGGAUAGGGGUUCUGAGAGGAAGGUCCCCCACAUUGGAACUGAGACACGGUCCAAACUCCUACGGGAGGCAGCAGUGAGGAAUAUUGGUCAAUGGGCGAGAGCCUGAACCAGCCAAGUAGCGUGAAGGAUGACUGCCCUAUGGGUUGUAAACUUCUUUUAUAAAGGAAUAAAGUCGGGUAUGCAUACCCGUUUGCAUGUACUUUAUGAAUAAGGAUCGGCUAACUCCGUGCCAGCAGCCGCGGUAAUACGGAGGAUCCGAGCGUUAUCCGGAUUUAUUGGGUUUAAAGGGAGCGUAGAUGGAUGUUUAAGUCAGUUGUGAAAGUUUGCGGCUCAACCGUAAAAUUGCAGUUGAUACUGGAUAUCUUGAGUGCAGUUGAGGCAGGCGGAAUUCGUGGUGUAGCGGUGAAAUGCUUAGAUAUCACGAAGAACUCCGAUUGCGAAGGCAGCCUGCUAAGCUGCAA